rnacentral:sRNA from 1 species
UUGCAGCAGCCCGACCUGAGUGGAGCUCUUUUUCUUUUUUUUAAUAAAAAAGAAAAAAACGAGAACGGAGGACGGAAAUAGCU